rnacentral:rRNA from 1 species
UUGACCUCAAAUCGGGUGAGACUACCCGCUGAACUUAAGCAUAUCAAUAAGCGGAGGAAAAGAAACUAACAAGGAUUCCCCUAGUAACUGCGAGUGAAGCGGGAAAAGCUCAAAUUUAAAAUCUGGUGGUCUUUGGCCGUCCGAGUUGUAAUUUAGAGAAGCGUCUUCCGCGCUGGACCGUGCACAAGUCUCCUGGAAUGGAGCGUCAUAGAGGGUGAGAAUCCCGU